AUUGAACGCUGGCGGAAUGCUUUACACAUGCAAGUCGAACGGUAGAGGGGGCAACCCCUUGAGAGUGGCGAACGGGUGAGUAAUAUAUCGGAACGUGCCCAGUCGUGGGGAUAACGUAGCGAAAGUUACGCUAAUACCGCAUACGAUCUAAGGAUGAAAGCGGGGGAUCGCAAGACCUCGCGCGAUUGGAGCGGCCGAUAUCAGAUUAGGUAGUUGGUGGGGUAAAGGCUCACCAAGCCAACGAUCUGUAGCUGGUCUGAGAGGACGACCAGCCACACUGGAACUGAGACACGGUCCAGACUCCUACGGGAGGCAGCAGUGGGGAAUUUUGGACAAUGGACGCAAGUCUGAUCCAGCCAUUCCGCGUGCAGGAUGAAGGCCCUCGGGUUUGUAAACUGCUUUUGUACGGAACGAAAGGUUUCUCUUAAUACGAGGAGCUCAUGACGGUACCGUAAGAAUAAG
rnacentral:rRNA from 1 species